UACAGAGGGGGCAAGCGUUAUUCGGAAUUAUUGGGCUUAAAGGGCGCGUAGGCGGCGGCGUAAGUUCGUGGUGAAAUCCCAUCGGCUCAACCGUGGAAUCGCUUCGAAUACUGCGUCGCUCGAGGGAGAUAGGGGACCGCAGAACUGCCGGUGGAGCGGUGAAAUGUGUUGAUAUCGGCGGGAAUGCCAGUGCCGAAAGGGGCGGUCUGGACCUCUUCUGACGCUGAGGCGCGAAAGCUAGGGGAGCGAACGGG
rnacentral:rRNA from 1 species